UUUUAAAUAGUUUAUAAAAAAUUUAAUAUUGAAAAUAUUAAGAAGAUAAUUUUCUUUAAAAA
rnacentral:tRNA from 1 species